GACCUACUCCCUCCGUUCGGAAUUACUUGUCGUGAAAAUGGAUGUAUCUAGAACUAAAAUACAUCUAGAUACAUUCAUUUCUGCGACAAGUAAUUCCGAACUGAGGGAGUACUUG
rnacentral:pre_miRNA from 1 species